GGAAACGACUGCUAAUACCGCAUAAGCCCACGGCUCGGCAUCGAGCAGAGGGAAAAGGAGCAAUCCGCUUUGAGAUGGCCUCGCGUCCGAUUAGCUAGUUGGUGAGGUAACGGCCCACCAAGGCGACGAUCGGUAGCCGGACUGAGAGGUUGAACGGCCACAUUGGGACUGAGACACGGCCCAGACUCCUACGGGAGGCAGCAGUGGGGAAUAUUGCACAAUGGGGGAAACCCUGAUGCAGCGACGCCGCGUGGAGGAAAGGUCUUCGGAUUGUAAACUCCUGUUGUUGAGGAAGAUAAUGACGGUACUCAACAAGGAAGUGACGGCUAACUACGUGCCAGCAGCCGCGGUAAAACGUAGGUCACAAGCGUUGUCCGGAAUUACUGGGUGUAAAGGGAGCGCAGGCGGGAAGACAAGUUGGAAGUGAAAUCCAUGGGCUCAACCCAUGAACUGCUUUCAAAACUGUUUUUCUUGAGUAGUGCAGAGGUAGGCGGAAUUCCCGGUGUAGCGGUGGAAUGCGUAGAUAUCGGGAGGAACACCAGUGGCGAAGGCGGCCUACUGGGCACCAACUGACGCUGAGGCUCGAAAGUGUGGGUAGCAAACAGGAUUAGAUACCCUGGUAGUCCACACUGUAAACGAUGAUUACUAGGUGUUGGAGGAUUGACCCCUUCAGUGCCGCAGUUAACACAAUAAGUAAUCCACCUGGGGAGUACGACCGCAAGGUUGAAACUCAAAGGAAUUGACGGGGGCCCGCACAAGCAGUGGAGUAUGUGGUUUAAUUCGACGCAACGCGAAGAACCUUACCAAGUCUUGACAUCCUGCGACGCACAUAGAAAUAUGUGUUUCCUUCGGGACGCAGAGACAGGUGGUGCAUGGUUGUCGUCAGCUCGUGUCGUGAGAUGUUGGGUUAAGUCCCGCAACGAGCGCAACCCUUAUGGUCAGUUACUACGCAAGAGGACUCUGGCCAGACUGCCGUUGACAAAACGGAGGAAGGUGGGGAUGACGUCAAAUCAUCAUGCCCUUUAUGACUUGGGCUACACACGUACUACAAUGGCGUUAAACAAAGAGGAGCAAGACCGCGAGGUGGAGCAAAACUCAGAAACAACGUCCCAGUUCGGACUGCAGGCUGCAACUCGUCUGCACGAAGUCGGAAUUGCUAGUAAUCGCAGAUCAGCAUGCUGCGGUGAAUACGUUCCCGGGCCUUGUACACACCGCCCGUCACACCAUGAGAGCCGGGGGGACCCGAAGUCGGUAGUCUAACCGCAAGGAGGACGCCGCCGAAGGUAAAACUGGUGAUUGGGGUGAAGUCGUAACAAGGUA
rnacentral:rRNA from 1 species